GGUACCUCCGAUCCUUUUCAAUUUUUUUGUGCUUGUUUUUAACUUAAUUUUUAAGAAGUUUGAAAAAUAUGAAUUAAGAUCGACGAUUUAUUCAUUAGUUAUUGAGGUUUAAAUCUAUUAUAGGAAUUACUAAGAUUUGAUUUAAGAUUUGGUUAGAGUUUGGUUUAGGGUUUAAGAUUUGAAUUAGGGUUUGAUUUAGGAUUUAAGAUUUGGUUAGGAUUUGAUUUAGGAUUUAAGAUUUAAUUAAGAUUUUAUUUAGGAUUUAUGAUUUGUAUUAAGAUUUGGUUUAGGGUUUGGUUAGGGUUUUAUUUAGGAUUUGGAUUAGGAUUUGGUUUAAGGUUUAGGAUUUGGUUAGGAUUUGAUUUAGGAUUUGAUUAGGAUUUGAUUAGGAUUUGGUUUAGGAUUUGGUUGGAGUUUGAUUUAAGAUUUGUUUAGGAUUUGAUUUAGGAUUUAGAAUUUUAUUAGGAUUUAAGAUUUAAUUAGAUUAGGCCUAAAGUUUGAAUGAAGUUCAAUAGGAUUUUAACUAUAAUUAAAUUAAGAUUGAAUUGAAAUGUAUUUGAAAGAUAUUUGUAAUCCUUCUAAUAUUUCUUUAAGAAUUCUUAUUGUUUGUUUGAAAUUUCUUGAGCUUUUUUUGAAUUUGAUUGAAGCUUACUUAGCAUUUUUAUGAUCUUAUUAGAGUUUAAUUAGUAUUCUAUUACAAUCAAGAUUUUGUUGUUGCAAUUUCCAUUCUUCCUUCUACAGCUAGGUGCUCGGAGGAUUCUCAAGUAAGACUUUACGUAUUGCAACAACGAUACAUUCUUCUGUAAAACAAACACCUUUCUUUGCCAAUUAUGGUUAUCAUCCACGACUUGAUACUUUUGACUUUUUAAAAGUUGAUAAUCUUGUUGCGAAAGAUUUGGCAAUUCAUUUUUCAGAGCUACAUGCAACAAUGAAG
rnacentral:lncRNA from 1 species